rnacentral:tRNA from 3 species
GGCGGCAUAGCUCAGUUGGUUAGAGCAGUGGAAUCAUAAUCCACGUGUCCGGGGUUCGAGUCCCUGUGCCGCCACCA